rnacentral:lncRNA from 1 species
UCUUUCAAAACCCUGUAAUACAUUCAUAAGGGUUUCCUAAUAAUUUAGGAGAGGUUAAUUGAUCAUCUAUCUCAAUUUGAUCCUCCUAGUUCCUAAUUUCUAAAUUCUAGAGACAUGUUCAUCAAACCAAAGUUACAAGUUAUACGACCAAACACAAUAACCUCACUUCACUUAUAUUAUAUGUCAGCCACAAACAAAAUCUCAAUCAUAUAAAAUAGUCAUAUAUGAUAAUUUCAAGUUUCUAACAUAUUUUUCAAGUCCCUAGCAUUCAUCUAAUCACAAAUUCACAAGUUAUCCUACCUAAUUGGAGUAGUUAACCUAGUCACAACCUUAUUAGCUUCAAGCUUCUUCUCUUUAUAUGAGCUUCUUUCCCUCUUUCUUUCUUGGUUUGGUUAAGCCCAAUGAGUUGUUGCUAUUGCUACUGCUGCUAUUGUCGAUGCUGCUCUCCUCCUUCCUUGUUGGUGACUGAUCAAACUGAAGAAGAUAUAAAAGGGUAAAGCUUGUUGAUCUAUCCCUCUAUGGCUUAAGCUUUUCUCUCUAUGGAUUCAAUGAGUUGGGUGGAAGAAAAGUAUUAAGAGGAAGGAAAAAAUAUUUUUCGUGGACAAGAGA